GCUGAAGCCCAGCUUGCUGGGUGGAGGAGUGGCGAACGGGUGAGUAACACGUGGGUAAUCUGCCCUGUACUCUGGGAUAAGCCUGGGAAACUGGGUCUAAUACCGGAUAGGACAUGCUCUCGCAUGAGGGUGUGUGGAAAGUUCCGGCGGUACAGGUUGAGCCCGCGGCCUAUCAGCUUGUUGGUGGGGUGAUGGCCUACCAAGGCGACGACGGGUAGCCGGCCUGAGAGGGUGACCGGCCACACUGGGACUGAGACACGGCCCAGACUCCUACGGGAGGCAGCAGUGGGGAAUAUUGCACAAUGGGCGCAAGCCUGAUGCAGCGACGCCGCGUGGGGGAUGACGGCCUUCGGGUUGUAAACCUCUUUCGCCCGGGACGAAGGGAGACUGACGGUACCGGGAGAAGAAGCACCGGCUAACUACGUGCCAGCAGCCGCGGUAAUACGUAGGGUGCAAGCGUUGUCCGGAAUUAUUGGGCGUAAAGAGCUCGUAGGCGGUGUGUUACGUCUGCCGUGAAAACCUGCGGCUUAACCGUGGGCGUGCGGUGGAUACGGGCAUCACUUGAGUUCGGCAGGGGAGACUGGAAUUCCUGGUGUAGCGGUGGAAUGCGCAGAUAUCAGGAGGAACACCGGUGGCGAAGGCGGGUCUCUGGGCCGAUACUGACGCUGAGGAGCGAAAGCGUGGGGAGCGAACAGGAUUAGAUACCCUGGUAGUCCACGCCGUAAACGUUGGGCGCUAGGUGUGGGGCGCUGUUCACGUG
rnacentral:rRNA from 1 species